rnacentral:tRNA from 1 species
GGUGGCUCAGUGGUAGAGCGCUUGCCUAGCAUGCGAGAGGCCCUGGGUUCGAUUCCUCAGCACCA